GGGUAGAUGAUUGGGGUGAAGUCGUAACAAGGUAGCCGUAUCGGAAGGUGCGGCUGGAUCACCUCCUUU
rnacentral:rRNA from 1 species